ensembl:lncRNA
ACUCUGUCUCUGCUUCUUACAGUGAGAUUUGGUAGGAUCUGCCAUUGUCUGGGUGAAAGUGAACUACCUGUUCGGUUUUGAGGAUGAAUUAAACAUUCUUAUUGCACAUCUCAUCUUAUUAAAAGUAUUAUUCUUGGCAUGCAAAAAAGCUUUGUUCCUGCACAGUAAAUGAGAUAUAUAAGUCCACUGAAAGAAGCUAAGACCAGUCAAAGCAGAGACCAGAAAACAGUACCACAUGCUUCUUUUAAAAAGAAAGAAACAACAAACAAACCAAACAACAAAAAUGCUGGAAGAGACAGUGAAAGAUAAAGAUGUAUUUGAAUGAUCUGGUAAUUAUACGUACACCAAGAGGCAUUCAUUUGUUUAUCUAUUCUUCCUUUGCCAACAUUGGCGAGCAGGCAGAAACUAGGCUCUUCCAACCUUCUCUGUCAUUUGCUGCUUCUUUCAUCUGCCUUCCAGUUUUGAAAUCAAACACUUAGCUCUCCCUCUUCUAUGGAAAUCUGCAAGGUUUCUGUUGUACUUCUUUACUUGAGUUGGCUUCCAAUUCACACGGCUGUAAACAGGACCAAUAUGAAAGGCUAACUGAUUAGUUUGGAAGAUUGAUUUAUUAUUUUCAGGAAAAAAUAGAAGGCAACGAAUCCUGCACACUGGGAAUAUUACUUGUAGUGACAAAGAUGGCGGCUAGGUGUUGGAAGGGCUGAUGGAUGUGUAAUGAACACAGGCCUGUUCCAUUUAUUUACCACAGGUAUAAAGACAAUUGCCCUAAAUGCACAUUUCAGAUAUACUGGAAGGAAUAGUGUCUGCCCCUAACAGUCCACGUUUUGACUUAGAAUAAAACACAGCAGCAAUUAGGAGGAUAAUGCGAGAAGUAGGAGAACAGCAGUAAGAUCAUACAGCAAAUAAGUAUGUACAUGCACAAUCAGAUCCAAGCCAUUUUAAAGUAGAGUUGUGUGAAUAAUUGUUUCUUCAGUUCAAAGGUCAAGCUGAAAAAAAAAAAUACAGAUGCAUUUUGGGUUGCUCUGAAGCAUAAAAUUGUAUUGGUUUUCUUGGCAAAAUGGAAAAAAAAAAAGUAGAAAAUAUCUGGAGUUGAAGUCAAAGUUAAAAGUUCAUUUAGUUGGAGGAAUCUAAGCGCUCAUUAAAUGAUUUAUUCCAAGAAGUUUAAAAACAAUCAUUUUUGAACAAAAGUUUGAAAUACUGUGAAAAUAGGGAACUAAUUUCUCUUAAUUGGAUUUUUUUUUUUCAGUCACAAUUAUUGGCCAGAUAAAGCCAGUUAGGAACAAUUUUCACCUGACCUUUUUGUCUAGUGAAUGUUGACUCUCAGUCUUCCUUGUACUUCAACCUUUCACAAGGUAGUGCAUUUCUUAAAAUAACUCUUUUAAAAAAACUUCUGAGGAAAAUGAUGACAUGAUAUUUAAAUGAGAAACUUUAACUCUCUUCUCCUGGGGAAGAAGGAAAAAACUAAGAUUAUCGAGAAAAUAUUGCAGUGAAGGUAUUCUUUAGGUUUUUGGUUUUUAAAUAAGUCAUGACAAAUGAAAAAAGUAGCUAUUCUUGAGCAGUACAUCAAAACUGGUACUGAUAAAUUAGCAGCCCUGAGAAACAAAACAGAACAAAACAGCAUGUGGUGCCAGUGUGUUCGGGUUAGUGUUAUGGAUUUGCACUGGAGUUAGUAAGUCAUCAUUUUUGCAGCAAAUUGGUAUGGAACAAGGGUCUUCUGGGUGACUCCAUGGUUCUGUGUGGAGCUGAUGACAGACAAUAUUUGUGUUUGAUCAUACUGGCUGUUCAGGUGUCAGCAUGGAGCAGGAAGAUCCCAAGUCUGAAAUCACUCAUUUUCACUCGUUAGGAAGAAGUUGGUGUGUCUUUGAGGGCUGUGGUUUCAAAUUAUCUAUUCUUCUUGUAAUAGUUCAAAGAUUAAAGAAGGAACAGAGAUUGUUUUCCUGGAUCAUGAAGGAUGACCAUUGCAUGGGCUCUGCAGGAGGCACCCCUCACCUCAAACUAAGAAAGAAAGGUGCUGCUGAGUCAGUUGGAGACUGAGCCCCAUCAAGGCAACCCAGCUGUAAUUGGUGAGGGUGAUUUCUGACAGUAUCCAGGAGGGGAAAUGUGGACUUGCCAAGGACUCUAUUGACCUCUCCUUACAGGGCCCUACACAAGAGCACAGCUGGCUAUUUAUGACUGCGGCCUAAGCAGAUAUUCAAAAGCAAGAAACCUUGAUCCAGUCAGGUUACAGAAAAUAAUAGGUAUUGUACAUACACUUUGAUAUAUUUGCUUUUCUUUUGAUUUUGCUGAAAGACUCAUGCUUUGUGUCUUUCCUCUUUCUGCUGUCAUUUCCCCCUUUUCUCUUUCCAUCUCUAUUUCAAAUAGAAAAAUUAUGAAUGAAAGGAAGGCCGCAGAACAGCCACUGAUCUGAAGAGGAGCAGGCUUCUGCCCAUGCUGGUCUUUCCAUUGGGUGCUGCUGAAGCAAUCAGGCAAUUCAUUUAUUUUAUAUUAAAUCUUUUCUAAACAUGGUCAAUCUUGUCUUUCUUUAUGUUUUUCCCUAUUUUCUUCUCCAUAAAAUGGAAAGAGUCACAUUAAUAUGUAUUCAUAGAGCAUAUUAUUAUAUCAUUAUUGUGAUAAAAAUAACAUCACCAUUGUCAUUAACAGCUGCACUCUGAUACUCUUUCUCCAGACAUUAUCAUGACUUCUGUGGAUCCAUGUACAAAAUAAAUAAAUGAAUAAAUAAAUAAAUAAAGCUUCU